rnacentral:rRNA from 1 species
ACGGGUGAGUAACGCGUGGGAAUCUACCCAUCUCUACGGAAUAACGCAUGGAAACGCGUGCUAAUACCGUAUACGUCCUUCGGGAGAAAGAUUUAUCGGAGAUGGAUGAGCCCGCGUUGGAUUAGCUAGUUGGUGGGGUAAAGGCCUACCAAGGCGACGAUCCAUAGCUGGUCUGAGAGGAUGAUCAGCCACACUGGGACUGAGACACGGCCCAGACUCCUACGGGAGGCAGCAGUGGGGAAUAUUGGACAAUGGGCGCAAGCCUGAUCCAGCCAUGCCGCGUGAGUGAUGAAGGCCCUAGGGUUGUAAAGCUCUUUCACCGGUGAAGAUAAUGACGGUAACCGGAGAAGAAGCCCCGGCUAACUUCGUGCCAGCAGCCGCGGUAAUACGAAGGGGGCUAGCGUUGUUCGGAUUUACUGGGCGUAAAGCGCACGUAGGCGGACUAUUAAGUCAGGGGUGAAAUCCCGGGGCUCAACCCCGGAACUGCCUUUGAUACUGGUAGUCUUGAGUUCGAGAGAGGUGAGUGGAAUUCCGAGUGUAGAGGUGAAAUUCGUAGA